rnacentral:scRNA from 1 species
ACGGAGGUAAAGAAAGUGAGGCAAAUGGAGUUUGUUGCCUUCACUGAAACUCGCCUCCAAAAUGAACCAGCAGAGAGAAUAUCCUUGGUUUGGAGUGAAAAACCUUGGAUAGCUGCAUUUGCUUACAAAG